rnacentral:rRNA from 1 species
UACAGAGGGUGCGAGCGUUAAUCGGAAUUACUGGGCGUAAAGCGUGCGUAGACGGUUAUUUAAGUCGGGUGUGAAAGCCCCGGGCUCAACCUGGGAAUUGCAUUCGAGACUGAAUAGCUAGGGUACGGUAGAGGGAAGCGGAAUUUCCGGUGUAGCGGUGAAAUGCGUAGAUAUCAGGAGGAACACCUGUGGUGUAGACAGCUUACUGGACCAUUUCUGACGCUGAGACACGAAAGCGUGGGGAGCAAACAGG